GCAGACGCAAAAGCGUCGUCUGUGGCGGCAGCUAGACAUCGGGCGACCCUCGUCCCGCCAGGUUUUGGGGUCGCGCAAACGAGCGACGGGGGCUGGGGCUCCGGAUUCAGGUGUUCUUUCUUCAGCGCUCACGGGUUUCUGUCCGUACGCGAUGCGAGCGAACGUCGCGGUCGAGGCUAGGGCCCCGAAGCCCGCAGUAAUCCACGUCUCCCGCCCGCUCCGGGCCCCCAGUGCCGCCGUCGCGGGCGGAGGCGCGAGGUCUGGGCUUUGGCGCCUUCGCAGCCGCAGGCGACAUCCUCUUUCCUAGCUAAAGCCCCAAACGCCCAGGUGGCUUCCUGGGAGAGCACGGCUGAGCCUCCGCCUUCAGAUCAGAACAGGCAGAGCCUCCAAGGGCGGCUUGGGCCCAGUGCCUGCUUAUCCUGCCCGUCUCUCCACACUUCUUCUUUCCCUGUCCGUUGGAGUCCAUUCCUUCCUGGAAAAGCCAAAGCCGCGCUCCCCUAAGAGGCCUGGAUGUGAAGGAAUGAGGAGCACCCGGGAAGCUUCAGCCACUACACGAAGGAGGCGCCAAGCCCAAACUCCUCCCCAGCUACCGGCGGGGUCAGUGCAGAGCCGCGGAGGGCACACAUGAACCCUGGCACGCAGCCUCAGGGAGGGGCAGGCUGGAAAUGACCCUGCCUGCAGCUGGGCCAUCAGCCUGACCACCUGCCCCCUGAGCAAACGUUGAUGCAGGUCGGGCGCGGUGGCUCAUGCCUGUAAUCCCAGCACUUUAGGAGCCCGAGGCAGGUGGAUCACCUGAGGUUAGGCGUUCACGACCAGCCUGGCCAACAUGGUGAAACACCGUCGCUACUAAAAAUACAAAAACUAGCCAGGCAUGGUAAUGGGGUGCACCUGUAGUCCAGCUACUCGGGAGGCUGAGGCCCGAGAAUCGCUUGAACCCAGGAGGCGGAGCUUGCAGUGAGCGGAGAUCACCACUCCAGCCUGGGUGACAGAGUGAGACUCCAUCUCAAAAAAAUUAAUUAAAGAAAAAACGCUGAUGCUUUCUGAAAUACAUUUUAUUAUCGCUGUACCAUUCUGGGGCACUGGAGAUGGCAGCUGAGAAGCAGAGAAGCUGGAGACCUGAAGCCUCCACCCUUGGCUGUGGCUGCCGAGAGAGGCCCCUGCAGAGGGAGCCCCAGGCCACACCCAGACACCACAGCCAGCUCACAGUGCGGCCAGAGGGCACAGGCUGCUUGGGGGGUGAGGGUCCCCAUUCCUGCCACCUCUCACAGACCAUGACCCACAGGGCUGGGGGCUUCCCCUGGGAGAAAGUCCUUCCCUCCCCAUGGCCCAGCCCUGGGGAAAGAAAGCAGAGACUAACUCAGGGACUGCAGUAGGCUGAGGACAAGGGAGGUGGGCUUGGGGUGAAGGCCCCCCCUCACUCGCAGAGAAGGGACACUACCGGCAGUAGAGGACAGGGAGGCAGGACGACGGCAGUUAGAGACGAGGCGUUUCAGGUGAACUGUAUGUAGUGUUACUCCGGACGUGAGCAUGGCCUGGGUCAGUCGAAUGAAAUGAGCUGGGCCUCGCUGCCCUGUGC
rnacentral:lncRNA from 1 species